UUAUCUUUACUAUCUUUCUAAUUUCUUUAUGGUAUUAGAGCACCAUUGAAGAUCCUCCUUCUUUGAAUUUUUUUUCUUCAAUUGCUAUUACUACUGACUCCACCUCUCCUCUUGCUGGAUCCAAAGUCUUGGAUCAAAGUAGUCAUUUCUUCCUUCAUCUAUCUGAUUCACCAGGAAUGUCUUUGAUGAACUCCACCUUUGAAGAAAAAGUUAUGGAGGAUGAAGAAGAUCCAUCCUUAUCACUCUCUCAACUAAGAACAAGCUGGGUUUCACUGAUAGAAGUUGCAAAGAUCCUGCUCCCAAUAGUCCAGACCUUCAAUCAUGGAAUAGGUGUAGUGAUAUGGUAACUAAUUGGUUAUUAAAGUCACUCUCUAGGGACAUUGCUAAAAGUGUCCUCUACUUCAAAAUAGAUGAGGAACUCUGAAACGAUCUUGAGGACAGAUUAGGUCAGUCUAAUGGGGCCAAAUUAUUUCACCUACAAAAAGAGAUGAGUGAUUUUUCUCAGGAGUCACACAACAUUGCAUCUUAUUAUACCAAAAUCAAGGGGUUUGGGGAUGAGCUAGACACAUUGAACACAAAAACCACUUGUUCUUGUAAUUGUGACUGUGGUGGAAAGGUGAAAAUGGUUAAGUCACACCAAGAUGAGAGGCUCAUUCAAUUUCUUAUGGAACUAAGUUAGGCCUAUGCUGCCGUGAGAAGCAACAUCUUAAUGAUGCCUCCCUUUCCCUCUGUAUUCUUGCCUGCUCUCUUCUCAUCCAACAUGAGAAACAAAAAGAGAUAUCUGUUUAUUCUAAUCCUGCAUGAAAUCACUCAUCCUACUUAGUUGCUGAUAACAAUGGACCUCCUCAAUAACCUCAAAAUGGACAGAGGAUUCACACACCUGAAUACAGAUCCAAGAAGGUUAACACAUCCUUGACGUGUUCCCAUUGUAGGAAAGUGGAACAUACUAUUGACAGAUGCUAUAUGAUCAUUGGUUUUCCCACAGAUUUUAAGUUCACUAAAAUCGAAAGGACCGCGAGAAGCAAUGUUGUUCUUCCUUCUGAAUUGCAUUGUUACCGUAACUCUCUUCCUAAUCUUGCAGGCAAUUUUGGAAAACAGUUAACUCAUGAACAAUUUUCUCAUUUGGUCCAACUUUUGAAUUAGGCUAAGGUUACUCAACCAGAGGAUUCCCUUGCCGAUCCAAGUGCAAAAGUUGCUUGUGGCCCCUUUAGUGAGGAGGCCUCUGGUUCUUGGUGAAGCAAAUAGUGGACUCUAUCAGUUAUUUCCUUCAAGCCUCUUGUCUAAGAGUUUUUUCAACAAAGCUGAAGUUUCUUUUUCUAGUCAUAGUUUUUCUUCUUGUAAUUCCUUCUCUAGUUCAGUUCCAAGAAAUAAGAAGUUUGAUUUUCACCUAUGGAAUGUAAGGCUAGGGCAUUUGCCCAUUUCAUCAAUGAACAAGUUAUUUUCUUUUCCGAUUA